rnacentral:tRNA from 1 species
GAGGGUAUGGCUCAGUGGUAGAGCACAUUCUUAGCAUGCAUGAGGUCCAGGGUUCAAUAUACAGUACCUCCA